rnacentral:ncRNA from 1 species
GUGACGUAUGCAUGUGACUUUUUCUCGUGUGCAUUGUCAGGCCGGAGAGGAAGUGUAAACGGUGACAAUCAAAAAUGGUGGAUUAUACUUCCGAAAACAACCCAGAGUAAACCCUGCUACAUAACUAUAGUGAUUCGAACGUACAAAUCGAUUGUAUAACGUGAAUAUAGGGGUGGCAGACUGGUGGUACUGUCUAGUGCUUGUUCCCUUCAGUAUAACCAGAAUAUCUAGUUCCGCCUAGCAAAGCGAAUAAUUAGAAUGUAUCAGGAUAAACCUAUAACCUUUGCUCUAACACCGAACAGGCAAUUGGACUGUUUUCCGAAGAAGUGGGGUAGCUUGAAGAAGGGAACGUCUCGUUAUGGUGUCUAACGCGAUACUACAAAAGGUGUAGGUUGAUCUAGGCAGCAGGAUGAUGGCCAUGAAAGACACUAGGCAGUCUGUAAUAAGGCAUUUUCUAACUCAACUAACCCUGACAAUUCAGGGACCCAGACAUUAAUUUAUGGGGAGUCUAAGUUGUGAGUGAGCAAACUGCAUUUAGUCAAGACAUGGAGCAGCGGGAAUUGCAAGAGCAUACGUUGAUGGUG